rnacentral:snRNA from 1 species
GUGUUCAAUUAGACAGCAUAUCGACUAAAAUUGGAAUAAUACAGAGAAGGCUAGGAAAAAAUGGCAUGCAAAUUUGUGAAGCAUUCCAUAUUUUU